rnacentral:rRNA from 1 species
AUUGAACGCUAGCGGCAGGCUUAACACAUGCAAGUCGAGCGGGGGAAGGUAGCUUGCUACCGGACCUAGCGGCGGACGGGUGAGUAAUGCUUAGGAAUCUGCCUAUUAGUGGGGGACAACAUCUCGAAAGGGAUGCUAAUACCGCAUACGUCCUACGGGAGAAAGCAGGGGAUCUUCGGACCUUGCGCUAAUAGAUGAGCCUAAGUCGGAUUAGCUAGUUGGUGGGGUAAAGGCCUACCAAGGCGACGAUCUGUAGCGGGUCUGGGAGGAUGAUCCGCCACAAUGGGACUGGGACACGGCCCAGACUCCUACGGGAGGGAGCAGUGGGGAAUAUUGGACAAUGGGGGGAACCCUGAUCCAGCUAUGCCGCGUGUGUGAAGAAGGCCUUAUGGUUGUAAAGCACUUUAAGCGAGGAGGAGGCUACUCUAGUUAAUACCUAGGGAUAGUGGACGUUACUCGCAGAAUAAGCACCGGCUAACUCUGUGCCAGCCGCCACGGUAA